UAAUAGUGUAUAUUAAAGUUGUUGCAGUUAAAAAGCUCGUAGUUGAAUGUUGGUGUCGAACGAGCGGUCAGCUUCGGCUGUACUGCUCUCUCGACUCCUUCCUUCUGUGGACUACGUCGCACUUUACUGUGUGGCGCUAGGACGCAGAUCGUUUACUGUGAAAAAAUUAGAGUGUUCAAAGCGGGCCGUACGCUUGAAUACAUUAGCAUGGAAUAAUGGAAUAGGACGUCGGGCCUAUUUUGUUGGUUCUAGGACCGUCGUAAUGAUUAAUAGGGACAGUUGGGGCCGUUUAUAUUCCGUAGUCAGAGGUGAAAUUCUUGGAUUUACGGAAGAUAAACUACUGCGAAAGCAUUCGGCAAGGAUGUUUUCGUUAA
rnacentral:rRNA from 1 species